UACGGAGGGUGCAAGCGUUAUCCGGAAUCACUGGGUUUAAAGGGUGCGUAGGCGGCUUAGUAAGUCAGAGGUGAAAGUUCUGGGCUUAACCGAGGAAUUGCCCCUGAUACUGCUGAGCUUGAAAAAGGUUGAGGCAAGCGGAAUGUGGCGUGUAGCGGUGAAAUGCUUAGAUAUGCCAUAGAACACCGAUUGCGAAGGCAGCUUGCUGGACCUAUUUUGACGCUGAGGCACGAAAGCGUGGGGAGCGAACAGG
rnacentral:rRNA from 1 species